rfam:Stegodyphus mimosarum contig33432, whole genome shotgun sequence.
AACACAUAUACAUAUAAUGUCAUUCAAGAAUAUCAGGCAAAGCGGAAUUGGAAUCUGAAUAUAGGUAAACAAACACCGCUGUAUACUAUAAAUAGUUCUUAAUUUAAAUCCAAGUGAAAUGGCAAUUAAUGUUAAUUAUACAGGCAAUUAAGAAGAUUGCAUUGCAUGAGGUUAUGGAAACACUGAUGCGAUGUAAAUCAAAUUUUCAAAAAAGAUAUGUGCGUAGAAUAGUUCAAUAGUUCUUGUAUUAUUAUUAUCAACAGCAUCAGAUAGUAAUUAACUAAUUAAUUAUUAAGGGGUAAUUAUUUGUCCUACCUUGGACGCUUUUCUUCAUCUGUUUUUCAUCUGUGCUUCAAUUAGGUAAUCCAAAUGAUCUAAAGGGCACUUAUUUAACACACACACACACAACACUAGGCUGAUGUUAUCCGAUAAGCACUAAGUUGUUAAUUAUCCGGUAAAUUAUUAACUCCGUAACUAAUGAUCCAAUAUGCACAAAUUUUUCAGCGUUUGUUCAGGAUGAGGAUUGAUGACGAUUGCCGCAGUUUCCAAGUAAGUAAUCCAAUUAGUCGCUGAAUUAGUACUCCAGGAUAAUUACUCCAAUCUGUAGAAAAUACACUGAAUUUAUCGGCGAAAAGCGCUAAGUUCUUAAUUAUCCGAUAAAUUAAUAUCUCCGGAACUAAUGAACCGAAUCACACGAAUUUUUCAGCAUAUGUUUAGAAUGAGAAUUGAUGACGAUUGCCGUUGUUUCCAAGUUGAUGCUUCAAUUAGUCACAGAAUUAGUACUCCAGGAUAAUUGCUCCAGUCUAAAGAAAAAAUUCGUUAGUCGAUGUCCUUGAGCUACUUCCUGUAGUCCGUGGGGUCGGGGAAUUCUUCUAACUGUCGAAAACGACGCUGGCGUUGAAAACUCCGUUAUGAAUAUUAUUUAAAAAUUCAUUAAAAAUCAACCACUGCUGCUAUCUUCUUGAAACUUAUGGCAAAUUGAAGAUAAAAAUAUCCUCUUUCUGAUGAUGUAAGUUUUGUCCCGCGUCGGCGUCCGGCGGGCACUGCAGGGGCCACGGAAGCUGCUUGCACGUGGCAAAAUGGCUUGCUCCUAUGUUAAAAAUUUUGUAACUUUAUAAAUAAUUCAAAAAUUGUCGUAGCGACAUAAAUUUGGAUUCUAUGGCUUCCUAUCGAUGUUAGCUAUUCACUGCAACAAGUUUGGGAGAGAUACGUAGGAUAUUUCCGCAGAUGCAGGCGUAGAAAGCGGAGCGACGAAAACACGACCUUCUUCUGUGGUUGCUCUGGUUGCUCUGGUUGCUCUAGACAGCAGGACGGUGGCCAUGGAAGUCGGAAUCCGCUAAGGAGUGUGUAACAACUCACCUGCCGAAGCAACUAGCCCUGAAAAUGGAUGGCGCUCCAGCGUCGAGCCCAUACCCGGCCGCUACGGCAGAGCUCCGCCUCGCGGAGACUUAAGUCGUAGUGAGUAGGAGGGUCGCAGCGGUGUGCGUCGAAGGUGCCCGGCGUGAGCCCGCCUGGAGCCGCCGCUGGUGCAGAUCUUGGUGGUAGCAAAUACUCAAGUGAGAAUCUUGAGGACUGAAGGUGGAGAAGGGUUCCAUGUGAACAGCAGUUGAACAUGGGUCAGUCGGUCCUAAGCGAUCGGAGAAAUCCGUUCCGAAGGGGGACGUUAAGAGCAUAGAAUUUGCAAGUUUGUCCCCCUGUCGACCGAAAGGGAAUGGGGUUAAUAUUCCCCAACCUGGACACGGAGAUUGUGGAGCUUCGGCUCCAAAUGCGGUAACGCAACCGAACUCGGAGACGUCGACGGGAGACCCGGGGAAGAGUUAUCUUUUCUUUGUAAGAACUCGUGUCCCUGGAAUCGGAUCAUCCGGAGAUAGGGAUGGUGAGUUCGUAAAAGCACCGCGGCUCUUGCGGUGUCCGGUACGCUCCUGUCGACCCUUGCAAAUCCGAGGGAGAGAUUAUGAUUUUCGUGCCAGACCGUACCCAUAUCCGCAGCAGGUCUCCAAGGUGAACAGCCUCUAGUCGAUAGAACAAUGUAGGUAAGGGAAGUCGGCAAGUUCGAUCCGUAACUUCGGGACAAGGAUUGGCUCUGAGGACUGGGCCCGUCGGGCUGGGGUCCGAAGCGGGUGUGGCACUGCACCGGGACUGGGCGAGACGCCGUGAAAGCGGUCCGGUCCGGCCCGGACCAGCUUCGGGGCCUUCCCGUGGAAUGCCUCAGCUGCGCGGCGAAUCGGGCACAAAGCUCGGAGCGACCGUUUCGGCAGACAACUAACAGCCGACUCAGAACUGGCACGGACUAAGGGAAUCCGACUGUCUAAUUAAAACAAAGCAUUGCGAUGGCCGGUGACCAGUGGUGACGCAAUGUGAUUUCUGCCCAGUGCUCUGAAUGUCAAAGUGAAGAAAUUCAUCCAAGCGCGGGUAAACGGCGGGAGUAACUAUGACUCUCUUACUGGAUUACGGGUAUCCAGAUGCGAACUAACACCUAUCCAACACAAGUCUUGUCACGAGGUCGGGAGGAGGGAGACGUGAGCUGUCGACUUUGUCGAUUUCCUCAUGAAACCCUUCACCAUCUCUUAGGUGCUUGU